rnacentral:rRNA from 1 species
UACGGAGGGUGCGAGCGUUGUCCGGAAUCAUUGGGCGUAAAGGGCGCGUAGGUGGCUUCUUAAGCGUGCGGUGAAAGCCUGGGGCUCAACCCCGGGUCGGCCGUGCGAACUGGGGGGCUGGAGCACUGUAGAGGCAGGCGGAAUUCCGGGUGUAGCGGUGGAAUGCGUAGAGAUCCGGAAGAACACCGGUGGCGAAGGCGGUCUGCUGGGGUCGAACUGACGCUGAGGCGCGACAGCGUGGGGAGCAAACAGG